GCAAAGAAGUUUGUGGAAAGGUUAUUGUUUUAUUUCGCUUUCUAAACUUUUCAAUGUGUCAUUUGGUUAGGCCAUAUAGCUUCUGAGUUGAUAUGAAGUUGAUCUGGAGGAUGCCGGUGUAGUGUUAGCUUCAGUUAAACUUCAUAUCGACCUAGACUCUACAUGGCCUAACCAACAGCACACAAAGCGAAAUUAAACAAUAACCUUUCCACUUACUACUUUGC